rnacentral:rRNA from 1 species
UAGCUAGUUGGUGAGGUAAAGGCUUACCAAGGCGACGAUCUGUAGCGGGUCUGAGAGGAUGAUCCGCCACACUGGAACUGAGAUACGGUCCAGACUCCUACGGGAGGCAGCAGUGGGGAAUUUUGGACAAUGGGGGCAACCCUGAUCCAGCCAUGCCGCGUGAGUGAAGAAGGCCUUCGGGUUGUAAAGCUCUUUCGGCCGGGAAGAAAUCGCAUGGGCCAAUACCCUGUGUGGAUGACGGUACCGGAAUAAGAAGCACCGGCUAACUACGUGCCAGCAGCCGCGGUAAUACGUAGGGUGCGAGCGUUAAUCGGAAUUACUGGGCGUAAAGCGUGCGCAGGCGGUUUUGUAAGACAGGCGUGAAAUCCCCGGGCUUAACCUGGGAACUGCGUUUGUGACUGCGAGGCUAGAGUACGGCAGAGGGGGGUGGAAUUCCACGUGUAGCAGUGAAAUGCGUAGAGAUGCGGAGGAACACCAAUGGCGAAGGCAGCCCCCUGGGUCGAUACUGACGCUCAUGCACGAAAGCGUGGGUAGCAAACAGGAUUAGAUACCCUGGUAGUCCACGCCCUAAACUAUGUCAACUAGGUGUUGGGUGGGUAAAACCAUUUAGUACCGUAGCUAACGCGUGAAGUUGACCGCCUGGGGAGUACGGCCGCAAGGUUAAAACUCAAAGGAAUUGACGGGGACCCGCACAAGCGGUGGAUGAUGUGGAUUAAUUCGAUGCAACGCGAAAAACCUUACCUACCCUUGACAUGCCAGGAACUUGCCAGAGAUGGCUUGGUGCCCGAAAGGGAGCCUGGACACAGGUGCUGCAUGGCUGUCGUCAGCUCGUGUCGUGAGAUGUUGGGUUAAGUCCCGCAACGAGCGCAACCCUUGUCGUUAAUUGCCAUCAUUUAGUUGGGCACUUUAACGAGACUGCCGGUGACAAACCGGAGGAAGGUGGGGAUGACGUCAAGUCCUCAUGGCCCUUAUGGGUAGGGCUUCACACGUCAUACAAUGGUCGGUACAAAGGGUUGCCAAGCCGCGAGGCGGAGCCAAUCCCAGAAAGCCGAUCGUAGUCCGGAUUGCAGGCUGCAACUCGCCUGCAUGAAGUCGGAAUCGCUAGUAAUCGUGGAUCAGCAUGUCACGGUGAAUACGUUCCCGGGUCUUGUACACACCGCCCGUCACACCAUGGGAGCGGGUUCCGCCAGAAGUAGGUAGCCUAACCGCAAGGGGGGCGCUUACCACGGCGGGGUUCGUGACUGGGGUGAAGUCGUAACAAGGUAGCCGUAGGGGAACCUGCGGCUG